UGAGGAAUAUUGGUCAAUGGACGCAAGUCUGAACCAGCCAAGUUGCGUGCAGUAUGACGGCCCUUUGGGUUGUAAACUGCUUUUAUAUGGGGAUAAAGUGGGGUACGUGUUCCCUUUUGCAGGUACCAUAUGAAUAAGGACCGGCUAAUUCCGUGCCAGCAGCCGCGGUAAUACGGAAGGUUCGGGCGUUAUCCGGAUUUAUUGGGUUUAAAGGGAGCGUAGGCCGUUUGGUAAGCGUGUUGUGAAAUGUAGGAGCUCAACUUCUAGAUUGCACCGCGAACUGUCAGACUAGAGUGGGAACAACGUAGACGGAAUUCAUGGUGUAGCAGUGAAAUGCUUAGAUAUCAUGAAGAACUCCGAUUGCGAGGGCAAAUUACGGGAGCGCAACUGUCGCUGAAGCUCGAAGGUGCAGCUAUCGAACAGG
rnacentral:rRNA from 1 species